UAAUCAUGGUCUAAUGAUUGAUAAUUCGUAUUGUAAGGUUGAGUCUGUAACAUAACUUAAUAUAUAUUAAUCAUAGUUAUCCAAUGCGAACAGUUAAAAUAGUACAUUAAAUAAUCAUCUCCCUCAUGCAUGUUUUUUUUUUUUUUUUUUUGCCUACCUCACAUGUUAAGUCCAACGAAAGAAUUGAAAAGCCACUUUUGUAUUUUGUAUCUUUAAAAGAAAAAAUUAAGGAAAAAAACAUAUUAAUUAAAAGCUACUUUUGUAUUAAUAUAUUUAAAAAAGGAUAAGGAAGUUAAAAACAAAGAACAUUUGUAUAGCAAUGAGUACACGAAACAAACGUACACACUAAACAAAU
rnacentral:lncRNA from 1 species